rnacentral:rRNA from 1 species
GACGUAUGGCGCGAGCGUUGUCCGGAUUUAUUGGGCGUAAAGAGCUCGUAGGCGGCUUGUCGCGUCGACUGUGAAAACCCGCGGCUCAACUGCGGGCCUGCAGUCGAUACGGGCAGGCUAGAGUUCGGUAGGGGAGACUGGAAUUCCUGGUGUAGCGGUGAAAUGCGCAGAUAUCUGGAGGAACACCGGUGGCGAAGGCGACGUCCUGGACCGGCAUUGACGCUGAGGCGCGAAAGCCAGGGGAGCAAACGGG